rnacentral:rRNA from 1 species
CUCGUGUCGUGAGAUGUUGGGUUAAGUCCCGUAACGAGCGCAACCCUUGUCCUUAGUUACCAGCACGUUAUGGUGGGCACUCUAAGGAGACUGCCGGUGACAAACCGGAGGAAGGUGGGGAUGACGUCAAGUCAUCAUGGCCCUUACGGCCUGGGCUACACACGUGCUACAAUGGUCGGUACAAAGGGUUGCCAAGCCGCGAGGUGGAGCUAAUCCCAUAAAACCGAUCGUAGUCCGGAUCGCAGUCUGCAACUCGACUGCGUGAAGUCGGAAUCGCUAGUAAUCGUGAAUCAGAAUGUCACGGUGAAUACGUUCCCGGGCCUU